CAGCUUUGCAUAAGUGAUAACGUAGUCGGUAUUUAUUGCCCUGGAUGUUUUUAGCCACCUACUACAAGGGUGGGAAGGGGCUGGCAGCAAGAGGCAGGUGGUGCAGAGCUGCUCUGGCUGCAGCCUCCCAACAGCGACUGCAGGUCUUGGCGCUGACGGCUAGAGGCUGCUGCUCCCAUGCGUCUCUGCUGCUGCUGCUGCGUUUGGGGUUGAGGAUCUUAGAGUUCCGCGUCCUUCUCUAGAUACUGCUCUAUGCACCUCAGAGUUUUGUCAGGUUUCUGGCAAAAUUCAGCUUUAGUUUGUACAGUUUUUCCCCCUGGCCCUUCACAGGACUUCAGAGCAAUGCAGUUUAGCUACAACUAUACUUUUUUCCAGCUGUACAUAUUAACUUCAUAAAGAGUAAGGUGGAAAAUUCAACCGACUGCAAAGAAAGGGCUGCUGGCUGUCCCUGGCAACACCCUGCCUGCCACCUCACCACAUCCCGUUGUGUAAUCUCCGCACCAGCUCUGCCUGCACGGCAGCACCCUGCCUGACUGUCACCCAGCCCCGAGAAUGCCCUGGGUGAGUUCACCCCUUGCAUUGACCCCUGCACCAUGGCACUGCCCCGCACCAGGGUCCCUUUGCCGGCACUCUCCGGUGCAGCCAAACCAUCCCCAGCCCCUCCUCGCCCCCACGGCAGUGUCUCUGAGUGGGGUGCUCAGGGCACCUUCUGCGGCUCCUCCCCAGCAAGAAGGAGCAGGGUGCCAGAGCAGCGAUGGGAGCGGACGAUGGGGAAAGCCCACAUGCUCGGUUUGCAAAGCACCCUCGAGUUUGGCCCACGCUCUCCUGCUGUCCCCCACCCCAAAUGCCACCCCAUAGACACCAACCUGCGAUUGGUGCUGGCUGCUGCCGGCUGCAUGGGCAGGGUCGUCAUAGCAACUCUGCCAAACUCCUGCGCGAAGGGUUAUGGGAGAGCUGCCGGAGAGCUGGAGGACCGAGCGGCUGCAGGCAAGAGGGAUGCUGGUGGGACGGGGGCUCGCGCGUGCUCCACGGUAAGCGUGAGGGAUGGAGCUGGAGCCGGGCUCUUCCGUGGAGCCGCCGAACGCACACCGCUCUGUGAAGCUAUGUGUCUUUGAGUUAAGGAUUAUCCAACAGAAUAUAAAAUGCUGAUAAGCAACGAGUGUUUCACCUCUGGUUGUUUUAUUUUAUAUGCGCAGCAGCAGAAGGCUGGAAAUGAAAGCACUGAUUAUGGUACUGAUGGGUGACAAAUAAAUCAGCCUUGCAAAUAUCAGAAGAAAAAGGAGAAACCCCCUGAAAAUGCACGUCAGACAUCUUAAAAGAGAAAACUGAAUAAUCCUGAACUAAUUCCCUCACCCAUUAUGUUUCUUCUGCAGGCACGAUGAGCAGGGAUUGCCAUUAUGUUCCUGUGGGUGUCUGUGAUAAUCUUCCCUAACAGGUACUUAACUGUGCACAUUUCAAGCAUAAAACCAAAGUUCUCGUUUUACUCCCAUGAGCCAAAUGCAUUUGUUUAUUCUCAUCCUUUAAGCACAUUUUUUGUGCACAGCACUGCAGGCUGGGUGGUAAACAUUUCGAGGUAGGUGAGGAACCUUGGGUUGAAAAAAAGCACCUGUCUCUGCAGAGGUGAGAUACAGCUCGGUCUUCCCUGAUGGGUGUUCGUUUGCCAUCUUCCAUGUUCGUAGCAUUGAAGGUGGCUUAAAUGCUGCAUCCAUGCUCGGGUAGACAGAGGGUGUGCGUGAGGGGGUGGUGACUACCGGGGUAAAUGUCCAAUUUUCGACUGCAAGCAGGGAAGGAUCUUUCAGGUUUGAUGGUGAGUAACAGUGAGUAUCAGGGAAUAUAGCAAAUAGUGAAACAGUAAAGCUGUUUCACCCAGAACUGCCUCUGCUGCGGUCAGUAUGGGCAGGGGAAGAAAAACACCUCCUCCCUGGACUUAUUCCAAGUGUGAGUGUGACUGAAGGUGAAUAUUCCAUUUCCCAUGCCAUGCGUGAGACUCAUGGAGCAGGAGGAGACAACGCCGCUACCCGGGAAUCAGGGGGAGAAGGAAAAUGAACCGGGGGGAGGGAAGAGCUGCUCCACACCCAACCUGCAAGCUGGCAUGGAAAUGGCGGAGAGAGAUCUGUACUACAGGAAAAUACAAACACGGAAUUUCUGGUCUCCGUGUGUUUGUUAUUUUACCUCCGUGAUCCCAGAGCGGGUUAUCAGCACCGGCUGCUUUCGCAGACCCUCCUGGCCCCACCAAGGCGGCUUCGCAGAGCCAUUUAUCUAGGAAGAGGCUGUGCGUGAUUCCCAUCUACAGUUUUCUUAGUCCAGACAUUGGUCACUGCCACUGAGGAGCACCAGCAAAGCCUCUUCCACCAGGGAGUGACGGGGUUUCAGUUCUGUUGCUGUUCAUACGGUUGUUGCUUUAGUUGUCUGGCAUUUGAUUAAACCUUACAUUUAUUAAGUCUGAAAGGAAGCUGUUAAAUCAGUCAGUGUAAAUUAUGCUUUAACUUCGCCCAUUAUGCUGCCAAUACAAUUUGUUGCAACAGACUUUUAGCUCUCCACUUUCUUCCAGUUCGGACAUACCAAAGAGCAAACUAAGCAAGGGGAGGAUGCGUGAGGAAAACGCCUGGAAACAUGCCAUUUGUGGAGCAAGGUCCCAUGACAUGGGAUGCGCCUUGAUUUUUUUCAGUUUAGAGAGUAAGAUUUUUUUUUAAUUAAA